rnacentral:lncRNA from 1 species
UUGACGUAACCGAAGGAGAAAAACAAGGAGACGAUGUUGACUUGGUUUGUGGCGUGAUCAAAUGGGAGAUGGUGGCGGCGCUAGGGUUUGAAUGGUGGAAGAACACAAUGCAACCAGCAACAAGGAAACGUGAAAGCACACAAAUUCAACAAUGCAGAUUAUUGAAAGAAAGUGCGAGGCUCAAAAGGGUGCUGGGAUAAGAUCUAACCUGAAUUUUUAUGUGGUUUUGUGGACUGUAGGAAAAAAAACGCUCGAUAAACUCACCGAUCAACCUGGAAAUCUGAUACCAAUUGAUGUAGUUGAGGUGCCCGAUCUUUCGGCGAGUAGAGAUAAUUCCGAUUUGGCGGAAGAUGACCCUUGCGAUCCGACUACGACGAGCAAGCCCGAGGCGCCAAUGCAAUCGCUGAACCAACUCCCUGUGGUUACCGACCUUGCUGAUGCGAGAUCAGCCUGAUCACGAAGAUCGUUUCCUGUGCGCAAUCGAAGAACGAACAAGAAAAAGAUGCGAGCAAUCUAAUCUAUUACUCGAGGGUGGAGUUCUGAAUACACGAAGACAGCGCAGAUUUGCGCGUGUUCGAGAGUAGCUAAGGCUAACGUAAAACAAAACUCAGGAAAUAAAGGAGGCGCAGCUCCUGAAUAAAUAGAGAGGGGGCGCAGCCCCUAGGGGCGGCCAACCCUAGGUCGUCCAUUAUGGGCCGCAAUUGGGCUGGUCGUCUAUUCUUCCGGGCCUUCGUUCUUUAACAACAUGAUGUAGUUCAAUUCUCUUGCACGGGCCCGAGUCACUGGCCCAGGUGGAAGGGGUGGCGCCUGGGCUGGAGAAGGUGCUGCUGGUGUAGAUGUGCUCGUGUUGGUGUUGAUGUCCGCAUCAUUUAUCAAGCAGCGUCUGCACCUGGCGCUGGAUCUCCUUCGUCUCAUCUGAAUUUGUACGGUGCGGGGCGCGGUUCGAAAGAGAAGCGCCGGGGAUGAGAUCGAUCUGAUGCUCAAUGUCACGGAGCGGAGGAAGACCCGGUGGUAAGUCCAUAGGAAAAACAUCAGCAUACUCCUGCAAAAGGUUAACAACAGCAGGGGUAUAUCCAAAGACGGUGCAUCAUCAAGCGGAACAAGCAUGCGCGAGCAUACAAGUGCAUAACAGGGCAUAUGAGCUUCAUGGAGAUCAUCAAAAUCAGCACAUGUAGCAAGUAAAACAGGAGAGUGCAGCUUGAUUUCAGAUUUAAUAGGUGCAGCUGAUGUCGAUUUGACUUGUUGUGCAGUUUUAGCAGCCCUAGUAAGAUCAUCUUUCAAAAUUUGGUCAGGGGUCAUUGGAUGUAUAAUUAUUUUCUGGCCUUUAAACAUGAAAGAAUAAUGAUUUGAACGACCAUGAUGUAAACUAUCUGUAUCAUAUUGCCAAGGUCGACCCAAUAACAAAGAGCAUGCUUCCAAAGGAAUAACAUCGCAAUCAGCAUAAUCAGAAUAAAAACCCAGCGAAAAGGGGACACGUACCGAACGUGUUACUUUUAUUUUACCACCAUCAUUAAGCCAUUGAAUGUGAUACAGAUGUGGGUGUGCGUGAGUGGGCAAGGAUAAUUUCUCUACCAAAGCUGUACUUGCCAAAUUUGCAGCUGCCACUAUCAAUGAUGAUGCGAAUCGACCGUUCGUGCACAACGCCCUUUGUAUGGAAUAGAGUGUGUCGUUGAUUUUUUUCGGCCUAGGCAACCUGUGUGCUGAGAACACGCUGCACAACAAGACUCUCAUACCUAUCGGUGUCGAUGGGAUCAAUGUGGACUUCCUCAUUUUCUGCAUGGUUAGUGGCAAUCAUAGCAUGACUAAUUUCCUUGGAAUCACUGGCUGUAGAGUACUCACCAUUGUCACGUAUAAGCAAGGUACGCUUGUUUGUGCAGUCCCGAAUCAUGUGCCCAAACCCUCUGCAACGAUGACACUAAAUAUCCCAUGUACGUCCUGUGGAAGAAACGGUGCCUUUAGCAGUGGGCGCCGCUGGCUUGACCGUCCCUGUGCGCGGUGUAGUGCUAGGCGUAGAAGGUGCAGGGCUGGAAGGAGUUGAGCUGUGUGUCGAACCCUGGCCUGCAAAAGAGUUAGUAUAUGUCUUUGAUCGUCGUCCCUGCACUUCACGUUCAGCUUUGCAAGCAUAUUCAAACAAUGUGGUUAUAUCAAAAUAAUCCUUAUAAUCAAGUAUAUCCUGAAUUUCCCUGUUCAAACCACCACGAAAACGCGCCAUAGCAGCGUCAUCCGACUCAACCAAACCACAACGAAGCAUACCCUUUUGUAACUCCUGGUAAUAUUCCUCAACAGAUUGUGAACCUUGUUGAAAACACUGCAUUUUGUUAAGCAAAUCACGGGCAUAAUAGGAAGGAACAAAUCUGUGGCGCAUGGCAGUAUUUAAUUGGGUCCAAGUAGUGACACUGUUAAUGGGAAGUUUUUGUUUAUACUCACGCCACCAAAUUAAAGCAAAAUCAGUAAAUUCACUAAUGGCAGCCUUCACUUGGCUAUUAGCAGGAAUAUCAUGGCAUGAAAAUUUUUGUUCUACCUCCAAUUCCCAGUCAAGAUAUGCAGCAGGAUCAUAUUUACCAUUAAAAGAUGGAAUUUUAAAUUUAAUCUUAGCAAAUGAGUCAUUAGGAGGAUGACGAACCACACGGCGUGCACGACCACGACGAUCUCCAUCGUCCUGCUCAGUGUCACCGCCGUAGUCCUGCUCCAUCUUUGUGGUCAACGCAUCAAGGCGUGCCAGGAUGGUGUCGAGUGUGGUGCGAGUCGCCGUUUGAGCAAGGUCAAGCUGGUUGAAACGUGCGGUUGUCGAAGUGACCGUUGAAUUAAGCCCUUCAUGCAUCGUCCUAAUGUCAGCAGCAAGUCCAUCAACUUGUCCCCUUACUUCCUGCAACUGGACAUCCACCGUGUCGUGUACUCCUGCCAUAUUUAGCGCAAACAGCAAAACACCAAAAGGGGAAAAACUGACGACAACAGGGGAAUGGUGGUGACAACUCGCUCAAUGGAAUGCUGUUAUCAAGUUCUUAUCUGUUCUUACCAAGCCAUAGUGGUGAACCGCAACCAACAGGUGGAACCGGUGAAAGAUUGGAUGAGCGAUUGCCUGGAGAAACAGAAACCUGCUCGUCGUAGAAAUAUGUGGAGUUCUAGGUAGGCUGCACUCAAGUCAAGGAUUAGCACGAUCAAACAAUAAUGCAAAGUUGAAUAUAGUGCAAAACACAAAACUAUAUUGCUGGACACAAGUGCAAAGGACGGAUGGAACUAGCAAAAUGGCAGUACCGUAAAUAUUGUACUAGCGAGGCCAAAAAGGCACUAGUAGGAAUCACAAGUGAUUUUGUUUUUCCUUUUUGUAUGAUUUUUUUUGAUAUUUUUCUCAGCACAAGAAGCAACAAAAUAGGAUCUACACCAAGUUUCACCUAAAACAAAGAUCAGAUGUGGUCUACAGAAAAAGAGCAAGUUCUCUGAAAAGCGUGCAAGAACUAUGACGAAUUUUUUUCUUUAUUUUCCUGAUUUUUUUUGACAAUAUUAUCAAAACCAAACAGGACUUAGGCUAGUUUGGCUGGCCUCAGAAUAGUGUCAACAAGCUCCUGUAAAAAUUUCAGAUUUUUUGGACAACCGAGCGAAAAGUUAUGCCCGGUUUAAGGAAGGUACCUCAAGUUAUGUUUAAAACGACCGAGAUGAGUCAACAGGUUCCUUUCUUUUUUUUGUUUGUUCUCUGAUUCUAUCCUUUCUCUUUUGUUUUCUUUUUUUCUUUUUUUUUCUUCUAUUUCUGUUUUUUUUACGUAACCGAAGGAGAAAAACAAGGAAGCGGCAUUGACUCAGUUUGUGGCGUUGACUCGGUUUGACGUAACCAAAGGAGAAAAACAAGGAAGAUGGUGGCGGCGCGCUAGGGUUUGAAUGGUCGAAGAAAGAAGAAUGGUGAGAAAAAAACACAAUGCGACCAGCAACAAAUGACGCGAAAGCACACAAAUUCAACAAUGCAGAUUAUUCAAAGAAGGUGCGAGGCUCAAAAGGGUGCUGGGAUAAGGUCUAACCUGAAUUUUAUGUGGUUUUGUGGACUG